rnacentral:rRNA from 1 species
AACGAACGCUGGCGGCAUGCCUAACACAUGCAAGUCGAACGAGACCUUCGGGUAUAGUGGCGCACGGGUGCGUAACGCGUGGGAACCUGCCCUUAGGUUCGGAAUAACUCCCCGAAAGGGGUGCUAAUACCGGAUAAUGUCUUCGGACCAAAGAUUUAUCGCCUUUGGAUGGGCCCGCGUUGGAUUAGCUAGUUGGUAGGGUAAAAGCCUACCAAGGCGACGAUCCAUAGCUGGUCUGAGAGGAUGAUCAGCCACACUGGGACUGAGACACGGCCCAGACUCCUACGGGAGGCAGCAGUGGGGAAUAUUGGACAAUGGGCUAAGGCCUGAUCCAGCAAUGCCGCGUGAGUGAUGAAGGCCUUAGGGUUGUAAAGCUCUUUUACCCGGGAUGAUAAUGACAGUACCGGGAGAAUAAGCUCCGGCUAACUCCGUG